rnacentral:rRNA from 1 species
UUUCCGGUUGAUCCUGCCGGAGGCCACUGCUAUCGGAGUACGACUUAGCCAUGCGAGUCACAGGGGCGCAAGCCACUGGCAGACGGCUCAGUAACACGUAGGUAACCUACCCUUCGGACGGGCACAACCCCGGGAAACUGGGGCUAAUUCCCGAUAGGUACCCCCUUCUGGAAUGUGGGGAUAUCCAAAGCUCCGGCGCCGAAGGAUGGGCCUGCGGCCGAUUAGGUUGUUGGCGGGGUAACAGCCCACCAAGCCGACGAUCGGUACGGGCAGUGAGAGCUGUAGCCCGGAGAUGGGGACUGAGACAAGGCCCCAGGCCCUACGGGGCGCAGCAGGCGCGAAACCUUCACAAUGCACGAAAGUGUGAUGAGGGUACUCCGAGUGCGCAUACAUUGUAUGUGCUUUUCUGCAGCGUAAAUAGUUGCAGGAAUAAGGGCUGGGCAAGGCCGGUGCCAGCCGCCGCGGUAACACCGGCAGCCCUAGUGGUGGCCGCUUUUAUUGGGCCUAAAGCGUCCGUAGCCGGACAGGCGAGUCUUUGGGUAAAUCCUACGUCUUAAGCGUGGAAUUCUAAAGAUACUACCUGUCUUGAGGCCGGGAGAGGCUGGAGGUACUCCUGGGGUAGGGGUAAAAUCCUAUAAUCCUGGGGGGACCACCGAUGGCGAAGGCAUCCAGCUGGAACGGGCCUGACGGUGAGGGACGAAACCCAGGGGAGCGAGCCGGAUUAGAUACCCGGGUAGUCCUGGGCGUAAAUGAUGUGGGCUUGGUGUGAGCGCAUCGACGAGGUGCGCUUGUGCCGUAGGGAAGCCGUUAAGCCCACCGCCUGGGGAGUACGGUCGCAAGGCUGAAACUUAAAGGAAUUGGCGGGGGAGCAC